UCUAGGUGUGAAGUAAUAAGAAGAACACGUGACUCUAAUAAAAAGCAAAGAAAUAGAAUAAAUUAAAUUGUAUUUUAUUAUUUAAAAAAAAUCAUUUCAACAUGGUAGCAGAGCAAGGUUUAUAAUUUAAAGAAGAACAAAAGAAAAAAACUGAAUGUGAUAAGUUAAAUAAAGAUAUAAAAAUACGAUUAAGAUUUGAGGUUAACCUAAAGUGUUCAAAAAAACAUUUGUCGUGAAAAUACAUUGAAUUAUAUUGUUAGUAUCACCAAGAUGGCUAAACAAGCAAAGAUAGAAGACAUUUUGAUACCAAUUUUUGAUGGUGCAAACUAUUCAAGCUGGAAAUUAAGAUUGUUAACUUUGUUGGAAUACAAAGAGUGCAAUGAAGCCGUCAUGGUUAAAAAUGAAAAUGGCCUAACAGAAUGGAAAAAGAAGGAUUUAAAAGCAAGAACUAUUUUAAUGAGUACGAUCUCAGACAAACAAUUAGAAUAUGUUAAUGAAUGCACAACAGCAUAUGAUAUGAUAAAGAUGUUUGGCAAGAUGUAUUUAACACAGUCCACAGCUAUGCAAAUAAUAUGUAGAGGGAAAAUUGAAGAGAUUAAAUUGAACAAUUAUGAUACAGUAGAAGAUUUUUUCGUUGAGUUUGAGAAAACAAUUAAUGAGUAGCUGGAGGAAAAAUAGAUGAACAUGAAAAGUUGAGAUAUUUACUCAGAGCUCUUCCACCAAGCUACAGUUACAUUGGCGAUUUUCUGGAUGUAAUUCCAGAAGAACAACGAUCAGUUGAUUAUCUAUGUUCCAAAAUAAAAGAGAAAAAUAUGGUCACUAGCGAUUUGGACAAGAAAAACAAUGUGAGCACUUUUGCAACCAAACUCAGAUCCAAAUGCUUCACCUGUGGCAAGGCUGGUCAUCUCAGUAAGGACUGCUGGCACGGUCAGAAGUAUAAUCAAGGGCAAUAAGGUGUUAGAGAUCAGCGAGGACUACAGAGAGGUUUCAACAGAGGUGGAUUUAACAGAGUUUUUAUGUCUACCAUUGAAGAAAAUGUCAGUUCACACAAGUAUGAAGUGACUACAGAGCCUCAGAGUGCAAGUCUGGAAAGUAUGUCAAAAGUUUCUCUUGUAAAUUAUGCAAGCUUUGUAUCAUGCAAGGAAUAUGAGCCAAUACUGCAAAACUUUGAUCUGAUGCAUUAUCUUCAACAAUCUUCUGAACACACGGAAAAGACUCAAACAUUUUGUUUUGCAGAGAGGUCGACCACAAACGAAGUUUUGCGUGAAAUGCUUUUACUUUAUCUUUAGCUGUUAAAAUAUUUUCUUCUCUUUCUUGAAGGUUCUUGUUCAAAAAUGCUAAUUUCAAGAGCCAAAUAGGGUCAGAAAAACGUUCCAGAACUCUUGUCAAUACCUUUCCUUUAGCUUUAGCGCCAUCGUUUCAAAUAGUGAUACAUUUUUUCCAAUCAAUAUCGUAGUCGCAAGUGCUUUCUAAAAACAUAUCGUACACACAUUGGCCAGUAGUGUUUGCAGGAAGUGCUUUGCAAAAUAAGAUUUCUUCCGUAAUACUGUCAUCUGCUUCAAAGCGCACAAAUACUACAAACUGUGCACAGUCGGAAACAUCUGUAGAUUCAUCGAACUGCAAAGCAAAAUAUUGGCUAUUCUUUAAUUUUUCGACUACUUGUUCUUGAAUAUAGUAAUGUAAGCCUCCAUAUCGCCUGUAUAAUAUAUAGUAAUGUAAGAACCCAUUUACAUAUUUACAUUACCUUAUUAUAACUAAUACUACCUUAGUUUUAAGAGAAAUUAGAGUAAGAGAAGAAGUUAUUAGAAGAGUAAUUAGGAUUACGCUUUAAAAUAAGAUAGGAUAAGUAUAAAUGAUACAAAAAUAAAACAGUAGUUCUUUAACAGACACUAACGAAAGCGUUUGUUUAAUUCCGAGAACGUGAUUAUAUCCUUGGCCAUAUCGUUUAUUCUGCCUGAAAUAGUAUUGUCAGAAAGUGGUAUUUUUCUUAAUUUGUUUGCCUCCUGCUUACUGACCAUAAUUUCAAUCAUAUCGAGUGCCGCUGGCAAAGUAAGAUUUUCGGCAAUUGUAUGUGGUUUCCCUGCCUUAGCAACUCGAUAUGCGACUUUGUAGCUAAUAAUGUUGACUCGUUGACACUGGAUGCCUGAAAAUAGCUCACCGAAAUUAAGUAUAAUCAAAAGUUAUAUGCAAAUAACAAAGAAAUAAACACAAACAGUAAAAAUAUAGAAUAAAAAAACUAAAAAACACGCUUUGGCGAUAACGUAAACUAAAAAAUCAAAAAUAAUUGUUAAUAUGGAAAAUAAAUAAAUAAAGAAAAAUAGUAUUAUUGUGAAAAAAGGGUGGGACGCUUUUUAAGAGCUGAUUUAUAGUGCACCCCACGUUUUUUUCAUUAUUUUCUUACUUACCUGAAUUAUAGUAUUUUGCUGCUGACUAAGAGCUUUCAACUUUCGUUCAAAGAAAUCCGACGGCUUAUCAGCUUCUUUUUGAUGCUUGGUUGUGAGAUGCCGCAUAAGCUUUAACGGUUUCAUACUAUCACGUGAUAAAACAUCGCCGCAAAUUACACAUUGAGGUUUACUAUUUAUGACUGUGAACCAGUGUUUCAAAUAACUGUCAUCGUAAUGUCUAUUUUUUCGGAUUCGAUUCACCACCACCGCUGUUGAUACUCGUACCAGAUGUUGAAGGCUGCGAUCUUUUGAGAAAUUUAUCCAUUUUAUAAACGCGCAGAGCAAGCGAAAAAAACAAAAGAAUGACGUCUGAACUCAUCGGCGACUAUGCUUAACUGAGUGAUGAGAGUUGAAACAAAAGAACAUAGCUGUUGCUGUUACCGCAACGACAAUCAUGCCGUGCGGUGUGGCAACGUCGCGGUCGCCGACGC